AUACAUGCAAGUCGAGCGAACCGAUGGAGUGCUUGCAUUCCUGAGGUUAGCGGCGGACGGGUGAGUAACACGUAGGCAACCUGCCUGUACGACCGGGAUAACUCCGGGAAACCGGAGCUAAUACCGGAUAGGAUGCCGAACCACAUGGUUCGGCAUGGAAAGGCCUUUGAGCCGCGUACAGAUGGGCCUGCGGCGCAUUAGCUAGUUGGUGGGGUAACGGCCUACCAAGGCGACGAUGCGUAACCGACCUGAGAGGGUGAACGGCCACACUGGGACUGAGACACGGCCCAGACUCCUACGGGAGGCAGCAGUAGGGAAUCUUCCGCAAUGGACGAAAGUCUGACGGAGCAACGCCGCGUGAGUGAGGAAGGUCUUCGGAUCGUAAAACUCUGUUGUCAGGGAAGAACCGCCGGGAUGACCUCCCGGUCUGACGGUACCUGACGAGAAAGCCCCGGCUAACUACGUGCCAGCAGCCGCGGUAAUACGUAGGGGGCAAGCGUUGUCCGGAAUUAUUGGGCGUAAAGCGCGCGCAGGCGGCUUCUUAAGUCAGGUGUGAAAGCCCACGGCUCAACCGUGGAGGGCCAUCUGAAACUGGGGAGCUUGAGUGCAGGAGAGGAGAGCGGAAUUCCACGUGUAGCGGUGAAAUGCGUAGAGAUGUGGAGGAACACCAGUGGCCGAAGGCGGCUCUCUGGCCUGUAACUGACGCUGAAGGCGCGAAAGCGUGGGGAGCAAACAGGAUUAGAUACCCUGUAGUCCACGCCGUAGACGAUGAGUGCUAGUUGUUGGGGAAGUCCACCUCCUCAGUGCCGCAGCUAACGCAAUAAGCACCUCCCGCCUGGGGGAGUACGGCCGCAGGCUGAAACUUCAAAGAUUGACUGGGACCCCGCACAAGCGGUGGGAGCAUGUGUUUAUCCGAAGCACGCGAAGAAACCCUUAACAGGCCUUGGACAUCCCGCCUGA
rnacentral:rRNA from 1 species